rnacentral:rRNA from 13 species
ACGACCAUAGGGUGUGGAAAACAGGGCUUCCCGUCCGCUCAGCCGUACUUAAACCACACGCCGGCCAGUUAGUAGUUGGGUGGGUGACCACCAGCGAAUCCCAGCUGUUGUAUGUU